GCACUGGCACUUUCUCCUGUAUGCCAUGACAUCAGAGUGCAUUGUUAGCACAUAUUAGGAGCUGGAUACACUGAAGUGAUAUUUAAAAGUCCUCUCCAGACUUCAGAAAGAAGGGACACCGUCUGCAACACAGCAUGAGUUUCAUGUACCAGCACCAACACAAUUGGGGAUUGCGGUAAACCUGCAUUACAGUUCCUUGAAAUGGGUUCUAUAUACUUUGAACUAUGAACUCCUGAUAUGCUCUUGCAGAGCUCCUAGCAGCUAAACUACUAUGAAAAAGAAUGAUAAAAAGCUGGAGUUCAGCUACUAAUUAACAGAAGCUGGAAGAAAAGACAAGAGGGGUUAAAUGGAUCACUAGUUGCUUGGCUGCCUCUUCUGAAACUUUGGGUUUUUUUCCACCAGCAAAGAACAGACCUUUAACCCAAAUAUUACUGUUUGCAAUGCAUCACCAUCUAACAAGAUAAGCAGUGAUGUUGUGAAUAGGUAAACACCAUGAGCCAGUUACAAUUGCUUGGACUAUGUUUGUGGAAGAAUAUCAGCAAUUCAAUGAGAGGGCAGCUCAGAAGGGCCAACCCUGUGUUGCACUUUGUUAUGCAUCCAUCAUGUGUUCAGAUUCUUAGUAACAUCUGAAUAGUCAACGAUGUGUCAAAGAGAAAGGAUUGAGUAAUGAAUCAUGCAACACUUUCCAAGUGCCAUGGUGACUAAGAUUACAAGCCUUCCACAGUGAAGAACCCAAACUCUUCAACUAUGAAACGAAAAGAAAAAGAAAAA